AUCCUGGCUCAGGAUGAACGCUGGCGGCGUGCCUAAUACAUGCAAGUCGAACGAGAAGCCUUGGAUUUAUCUAAGGUGGAGAGUGGCGCACGGGUGAGUAACACAUGGCUGACCUGCCCCUCAGAGGGGGACAACCGGUGGAAACGCCGGCUAAUACCCCAUGCUUGCGUCCGGGUUAGAGGCCGGAUGCAGAAAGGCCGAGGCGCUGAGGGAGGGGGCUGUGGACCAUCAGCUAGUUGGUAGGGUAACGGCCUACCAAGGCGAGGACGGAUAGGGGGCCUGAGAGGGUGACCCCCCACACGGACACUGAGACACGGGCCCGACUCCUACGGGAGGCAGCAGUAAGGGAUAUUGCGACAAUGGGCGAAAGCCUGACGCAGCAACGCCGCGUGGAGGAUGAAGGCCUUCGGGUUGUAAACUCCUUUUCUGUGGGAAGAGGAAGGACGGUACCACAGGAAGAAGUCUCGGCUAACUACGUGCCAGCAGCCGCGGUAAAACGUAGGAGGCGAGCGUUAUCCGGAUUUACUGGGUGUAAAGCGCGUGCAGGCGGCUUGGUAAGUCGAGCGUGAAAGCUCCCGGCUCAACCGGGAGAGGACGUGCGAAACUGCGAGGCUAGAGACAGGUAGAGGCGUACGGAAUUCCGGGUGUAGUGGUGAAAUGCGUAGAUAUCCGGAGGAACACCAGUGGCGAAGGCGGUACGCUGGGCCUGGUCUGACGCUAAGACGCGAAAGCAUGGGGAGCGAACGGGAUUAGAAACCCCGGUAGUCCAUGCCGUAAACGAUGCUAACUAGGUGUUGCGGGUAAAAGACCGGCAGUGCCGGAGUUAACGCGAUAAGUUAGCCACCUGGGGACUACGGUCGCAAGGCUAAAACUCAAAGGAAUUGACGGGGGCCCGCACAAGCAGCGGAGCGUGUGGUUUAAUUCGAGGCUACACGAAGAACCUUACCUGGGCUUGACAUGUUGGUAGUAGUGAAGCGAAAGCGGAACGAUCCUUCGGGAAGCCAUCACAGGUGCUGCAUGGCUGUCGUCAGCUCGUGCCGUGAGGUGUUGGGUUAAGUCCUGUAACGAGCGCAACCCUCGCUGCCAGUUACAAGUGUCUGGCGGGACUGCCGGUGACAAACCGGAGGAAGGUGGGGAUGACGUCAAGUCAGCAUGGCCUUUAUGUCCAGGGCUACACACACGCUACAAUGGCCGGUACAAUAGGUUGCCAAGUCGUGAGGCGGAGCUAAUCCUCAAAACCGGUCUCAGUUCGAAUUGCAGGCUGCAACCCGCCUGCAUGAAGUUGGAGUUGCUAGUAAACNGCGCGUCAGCAAUAGUGCGUUGAAUACGUUCCCGGGCC
rnacentral:rRNA from 1 species